GUGGCGUUGUGUUGGAUGGAGCUUGACUGCCCUCGUGUGUCCAAACUCAGGAACGGCAGUUUCCCUGAAGGGAUCUGGAUGUUCAGCUGGUCUCAGAUCAAGCAUCCUCCUCUGUACUGACUCCACUAUCCCCAGCUUCAUCCCAUUCAUCAGAUUCCACAAUUGUCCUGGAGUCCAGAAGAAAGAGGAGGAACCCAACAGGGUUAAUGGAGCAGAAUGAAGCAAGACAGGUAAGCUUUGAAUAAAUGCAUUUAAAAUACUCAAUUACGUAAUUGUUUAUUAUUGAUACUUAUCUGUAGAAGUGUUUUGUAAAUGUAUUCUCGACAUAAAGGAAAGGCAUUAAAAAUCCUCUUAAAUUUCCAUGAGCAUGUCAUAACGAUGUAAGAUGUUUUGGCAGAAAGUUGAUUGUGUUCUGAGUGUCAAUCCAAAGAGUGAGGAAAUCUUCAAGGAGUAUGAAAAGACCAAAACACUAACAUGUCUGCAAACAGGACGUUCACCAUCUGUUUACGUGUGGCAUAUGUUAGAGCUACAUGGGAUGAUUCCAUCGUCAAGUGUGAGGACCAAUUAUGCACUGGGAAUUGUGACACUUUUUCCAUACCCCCAAGAUCCUUUCUCCAAACAUG